UACGGAGGGUGCGAGCGUUGUCCGGAAUCACUGGGCGUAAAGGGCGCGUAGGCGGCGCGAGCAGUCGGCGGUGAAAGCCCGGAGCUCAACUCCGGGUCGGCCGUCGAUACUCUCGUGCUUGAGCACUGUAGAGGCAGGUGGAAUUCCGGGUGUAGCGGUGGAAUGCGUAGAGAUCCGGAAGAACACCGGUGGCGAAGGCGGCCUGCUGGGCAGUAGCUGACGCUGAUGCGCGAGAGCGAUGGG
rnacentral:rRNA from 1 species